UACGAAGGGGGGCUAGCGUUGCCUCGGAAUCACUGGGCGUAAAGGGUGCGUAGGCGGGUCUUUAAGUCAGGGGUGAAAUCCUGGAGCUCAACUCCAGAACUGCCUUUGAUACUGAGGAUCUUGAGUUCGGGAGAGGUGAGUGGAACUGCGAGUGUAGAGGUGAAAUUCGUAGAUAUUCGCAAGAACACCAGUGGCGAAGGCGGCUCACUGGCCCGAUACUGACGCUGAGGCACGAAAGCGUGGGGAGCAAACAGGG
rnacentral:rRNA from 1 species